GCCUGGAUGGCUCAGUUGGUCGAGCAUCUGACUUCAGCUUAGGUCAUGGUCUCGCAGUUUGUGGGUUCGAGCCCUGUGUCAGGCU
rnacentral:tRNA from 1 species